rnacentral:lncRNA from 1 species
AUUCACCCAAUAGCAGAAACAUCUAAUACAAAACAAAGUGAAGAAAUGCUGGAACAAGUACUACUGAUAACCUUUUUAGAUGAAACGUUUGCGAACAUUUUGAACCUCGACAGUCCACAGGGAUUUAGAACUUCUCUUUAUGCAAGUCACCCGUUUGGUUCACGGCUAACUUCACCCACAUUUAAGCUUAGACAAAAUGUGGUUAGGUACGGAAGUGAUUUGGCCAUACUUUGGUUGUGAUGAUUUAACAACCUUUUAUGUCGAACAUGGUUUGAAACAAUUUCUAUGGUAUCUCUAUUUUCUAAUGUGACAUGUGACCAGUCAGAUCCUGCUGCAAGAAAUUUUAUGGAAUAAUCGCAGUUGUAUGGCCAACCAUUGUGGGUA